rnacentral:rRNA from 1 species
UACGUAGGGGGCAAGCGUUGUCCGGAAUUAUUGGGCGUAAAGAGCGUGUAGGCGGCCAGAUAAGUCCGCUGUGAAAUCUCGAGGCUCAACUUCGAGCUGUCGGUGGAAACUAUCUGGCUAGAGUCCGGAAGAGGAGAAUGGAAUUCCUGGUGUAGCGGUGAAAUGCGCAGAGUAUCAGGAAGAACACCCGUGGCGAAGGCGGUUCUCUGGGACGGUACUGACGCUGAGACGCGAAAGCGUGGGGAGCGAACAGG